UUAUAGAGAAGGAGUCUCGCCAUGUUGCCCAGACUCAUCCCAAACUACUGGACCCAGGCAAUCCUCACACUUUGGCCUCCCAAAAUGCUGAGAUUACAGCUUACCUAAAGUUAACAUCUGAUGACGUGAUCACAACUCCAUAUCCUGAGUUGAUUUCAACCUAUGAUGUUGGAAUUUUCCACAUGGAGAUAAACACUGGGAAGCAGCUAAUCAUUCUCUCUGGAUUUAUAAGGAACAAAUGGAUAAGUGAAACUUGAAAAAAAUGGCCAGAGUACUAAGAACUAAUGUUUCUUCAAGGAAACAAAUACUUUUACUUUAAGAAUAGAAGAUAAAAGGCCAAAGUUGUAAUAUAAGACAAAUUAUGGAAAUAUACACUUAUACAUAUAAAACCACUCCUCUUUUUAAAAAAUCAUGCUUUUUAAGAAGAAUCAUCUCAUAUCGGUGAGAAAUAAAGUUAUCUUAACAAACAAAAAGUAUCUUGAGAAAAAGCUUUCACAUGUAUAAGAAAGGGAAUGAACAAAUAAAUAGGAAAAAAGAUCUCUGGUUCAACCAUAUCAAAGCUUCUUCAUGUUUGUUAUUUUACUCCAAAGGACAUCUCCCUGAUCUUGAACUGAUAAUACAGUUAAAAGAAUUAACAAAAAGAGAAAGAGAUAGAAAUGGUCAUGUACAGAAUGAAGAAUAAAGGAAAAUUUUUUUCUUA
rnacentral:lncRNA from 1 species